rnacentral:rRNA from 1 species
GACGAACGCUGGCGGCGUGCCUAAUACAUGCAAGUAGAACGCUGAAGGAGGAGCUUGCUUCUCUGGAUGAGUUGCGAACGGGUGAGUAACGCGUAGGUAACCUGCCUGGUAGCGGGGGAUAACUAUUGGAAACGAUAGCUAAUACCGCAUAAGAGUAGAUGUCGCAUGACAUUUGCUUAAAAGGUGCAAUUGCAUCACUACUAGAUGGACCUGCGUUGUAUUAGCUAGUUGGUGAGGUAACGGCUCACCAAGGGAACGAUACAUAGCCGACCUGAGAGGGUGGUCGGCCACACUGGGACGGAGACACGGCCCAGACUCCUACGGGAGGCAGCAGUAGGGAAUCUUCGGCAAUGGACGGAAGUCUGACCGAGCAACGCCGCGUGAGUGAAGAAGGUUUUCGGAUCGUAAAGAUCUGUUGUAAGAGAAGGACGAGUGUGAGAGUGGAAAGUUAACACUGUGACGGUAUCUUACCAGAAAGGGACGGCUAACUACGUG